CAGGGGAAGAGGGAUUGAAGGACGCCUGAACAGAACCCAAAAAGGAAAAAAUGCCACGUAGAGGAGGGAGGGGAGAACGUAACUCCCAUUGCCUAAAACCCGCCUCUGGCCACAGGCACGGACGGGGUUCGAACCCGCGAUCUUCGGUUUACGAGACCGACGCCUUACCACUUGGCCACCGCGCCUGACAGCCGAGCGAGUGGCGGAAGCUCUCAGUGGAGGGGGACGUGGCGCAGGCGCAGGCGCAGGCGCGGGGCGGCGGGCGGACACUCUCCGACACGCCGUCUCCUGGGCCGGCGCCAUGGGAGCCGAAAGCUGGGGAGAAGCCCUGCGCCCCAUGGGCGCCAAACCCGUGCUCCGGGCCGCGGGGGGCGCAAGUUGGGGGUCUGAGAGGCAAAACCCUCUCCUAGCACCCCGCCCGGGCCUCGGGCAGGGUGAACGCUGCCCACGUCCCCUGAGACGCGGGAACCUCGCCCCAAGCGCCGCUGCGGGCUCCCGCGGAGGGUCGCGAUAGGGCGAAGCGGGGGAAGGGCGCCGAGCCACGAGGCUGAGGGCCAGGGCUGGUGAGAAGCUCGGAGAUGCGCCGAAGCGGGCUGACGCAGGCGGAGCACCGGCCGGGAGAGGCAGGCACCGGCACCACCGAGCUAAAUCCCUGGCAGUUCAGACUGAUUUUGAGCUCAUCGUGUAGCCCACCCCAGGCUGGCCUCAAACUCGAAGCAGUCCUCCUGCCUCUGCCUCCUACGUGCUGGGAUUACAGUUCUGCUGUGACCCUGAAACUCUGACACAGUAAGAAAGAGAUGAACUAGCAAGUCAUGAAAACACACAGAAGAACCUUAAGUCUGUAUCAUGAAGUGAAAGGAACUUCGAGGCUCGUGUGUUGGAAGCUUUAGACCCAUGUGGGCUUUCAGGAGAGGGGCCUAGGAGCUGCCGCCCACAGUGGGUUAGUGCUGCUGUCCUGGAGCAGGGUCCUUGCCAGGUGAUCCAUUUAGCUCCCACUCGCCUUCUCUGCUCAUCUACCACGAGAUGCCAUAGAGCAGCAAGAAGGCCCUUGCCAGAUGCCAACCCUUCUAGCUGCUUCCUAGCCACUAGAAGUACAAGACUGUAAACUUCUGUGUAUCAUAAAUUCCUUCGUCUGAUACCUGUAAUCCCUUGGGAGGCUGAGGCAGGCAGAUCGACACAAGUUUGAGGCCAACCUGGACUACAUAGUGAAUUCAAGGCCAGCCCAAAUGACAUAGUGAGAUCUUGUCUCAAAAAAAUAAAAUAAAUUAUGGCAGCGUGACACAGACUAAGACAGAUGCCAAUCUGAAAAGGUUACAGACUACAUAAUUCUGUGAUGUUCUGGAAAAGGCAAAACUAUGGAGACAAUCGAAAGAUCAGUGGUUUCCAGGAGUUGAGCAGAGGGCAGGAUGAACUGUAGAGCAGAGACAAUUUUUAGGAAGGUGAAACUAUUCUGGCUGCUGCUGUCAUGGAAGAUACACGUUGUUACACGUGUGUGGAAAUCCAUGGGACACGCGUCACUGGCAGGGGGCCCUUAGGGUAACAAGGUGCUAGUGUAGGUUCAGCAGUGGUAACGAAUGUACCCUGGUGGGUCAGGAUGGGGAGGGAUGGGGCACGGACAUAUGGGAACUGCUUUCUGCUCAGUUUUGCUGUGAACAUGAAAU
rnacentral:tRNA from 1 species